rnacentral:rRNA from 1 species
UACGAAGGGGGCUAGCGUUGUUCGGAUUUACUGGGCGUAAAGCGCACGUAGGCGGAUCGUUAAGUGAGGGGUGAAAUCCCAGGGCUCAACCCUGGAACUGCCUUUCAUACUGGCGAUCUAGAGUCCGGAAGAGGUGAGUGGAACUCCUAGUGUAGAGGUGGAAUUCGUAGAUAUCGGGAGGAACACCAGAGGCGAAGGCGGCGAACUUGACGAUUACUGACACUCAACUGACGAAAGCGUGGGGAGCAAACAGG